GAGUAAACGACCAACGUGUUUUAUAUAACUGCAUGUAACACAAACGUUGCGCUCUGAGCGUACGUGUCACUCAGAUGCUGUUGCUUGCAUGUAUGCUCACAGCCAGGGAAUGAGUGUCCAAAAUGAAGACGUGUGAGGGAAUCUCAGACUCAGAAGAUGGAUAAGCAUAGUUCUGUAAAGAGGAUUUCUGAGCGUGUGCAGAGUUGAACUGAUCCUAUCCUAUUAAUGUACAUCAAAGGGCGGUUCAGUAAGACUCCUGUUAACAAACGGAUGUGUCUAUGUGCAGCUGGAACAAUAGAAUCUGUCGAACACGUUCUAGAAAGAGUUCAUCCAGCUGCAGCAUUUUAGGAGAAUGGAAAGAAGAACUACAUUUACAAUGCACAGAAUGAGUGAACUGAGACCUAAAUGAGUUGCCUCUGAAACAAUCAAAAAAGGGGCAGCUGGACUGAGAGUUCUGCUCUAGCAGGCUUGGAGCUCAGCAAUGGAGCCCAAACUGAACCACUCCAGUGCAGUGAACUCCAGUGCUAUUCCUGGAUUUUUCCAGAAGUAUUUUAACACCAAACUACCAGUGCUCAGUUGCAAAGCCUCCAAGUGGAACAAUGCAGGCAGCCUCUUCCACAUGACAGAUGACUUGGGACAAGCAAUGGAAACCUUAGUGACCAUGACAACAGACAACAAGGUGUCAGAACAGCAAGAUGUGUUUUACAACUUCAAUGCUCUCAUGGUUUUUACAAUAUUCAUAUGAUAAAAGGAUUAGACUGUAAGAGUUUACAUGAAAACUUCUAUAUUUUUGUGCAGGGUAGAGGUACUAUACUGUAGAUUUCAGUAGAUUCUUAAGUCUGUUAUUGUUUUGUUAACAAUGGCAGGUUUUACACAUCUAUGCAAUUGUACAAAAAAAAUAAGAAGACUACAUGUAAAAUCUUGAUAGCUACAUAAC